CAAAAUUCAAAAUUCAAAAUUCAAACCUGAUCUCUCUCUCUCUAAAACUCUCUCGCAUUGGAACUUUUCAGCUGCUUCUUCUUUCUCAAAUCAUCGUAUUCAUAGGUCUCGAUUUGUCUAAGCCAGGGUUUGAAUCACAACACAACAUAGAAGCACGCCUUUCUUUAUCCGAAAUUGAAACCCUAGAUCUGAUGAACAGGUAAUACCAUGUGCAAGAUCGUAAUAAUUUUCAGUAUCCAGUUUGAUCAGAUUAUAGAUUAUGAACAGUUGUGGAUUCUUUCUGCUGUUAUUUUACUACGAUAACUUCCGAUAUUGUGUAUGAGGAAUAUUUUUGUUCUUUGUUUGGUGUUAGAUUGUGGAGUAUAAUCAAUGCUACCAUCUGAGGUCAUAAAUCUAACUACUUUGGCUUAGUUUAAUGUUCUGUUUUCUGUACUGCAAGUGUUCAUAUAGUGUCUACAUCUAACUUACUUUUAAUAUUACUUUUAGUUAUUUAAGUUAAAGCUGUUUUGAUUUUCGGGAACCACUCUCAUCCUACACAAAUCAAGUUUGGGCAGAGGAUGGUCAUCCUACACCAAUCGAUGUGAUACGACAAACCUUCAACUCACACCAGCGAAAAACAUCCAAUCUAAACUUCGAUCUGAAAGCAGCUUUUUUCGAACAUUGAAAUCACCGUCGUUUAUUAUCUCGGCCAAAUAACUACAAUAGCUGUUGUCCAAUCAACCAAACAACAUUAAUCAGUUGAUGUUAAUCUUUUCUAUUUCAAGCUCUUCUUCAUUUCAACCAGAUCAAUAACAAAUGAAGGCACAACUAACUCGACGGAUCUAAAAUCUCUAAAGAUACACAAGAACACAGCAACUUGCAGACCGUUUUAUCCCAUCCGCACUUCGAUAUAAUCACCUUCAACUUAGAACUGCUUCUUCAAGUAGCCUAGCAUCUUCAACUGGGAAUCCAACCGAACUUAAAACAGAAACGUCAUUAAUUGAUUUUGAUGCUGACCUUGAACCACUUUCUACUGCCCCGGGCCCACAAUGAACAGCAGUUUUGCGUAGAUUAAUCAACGAACGAACUAAUUUCGGACACUUUCUGCAAUGAUUAAAGUUCUGCGGCUGUGGAAUUUUAGCGAAUUAAAGUCAGAUUUUGCGGGCGAUACUACAACGACCUGUUUUUGGGAUCAAUUCUGCGGCAACUGAUUUACGCGAACGAACUUAUAAAACUGCGGAUGAAAUGAUUCUGAUUUCAAAUGGAUAACAAAAAUCCACUGCAAAUGACCAAACCAGAUUUUGCAUUGCAGUAAACUGACAGAUAUCGAUCAAUUCUGGGUCAACAAAUUACGUUACUGAAUCUGCGAAUGAACUUUUAUAUCAGCGUAUGAACCUAAUUUCAUGACUGCGUAAACAAAACUUGAAUCUCGAGCUUUCAGGACAGCGAAUAAACUUCUGCAAAUGAACGUUAAUGCAGCAUAGUUCUGGGCAAUUCAGCAGCGAAUGAUUACUGGUUUCUGUAGCGAAUAUGUUCUUUAAUUUUGCACAGCGAAUAUGUUCUUUAAUUUGCUAUAAUUUUCAUGUUGUUUGUGAACUGAAUUUAGGUUGUGUGUUGUGAAUCGGAAGUGUUUGCGUUAGAUCUGUGAGUUUUAGUUGUAAUCAGAUUAGAGUGUUGGUAGUUUUUUCUUUAGUUUAAUCUCUACCGCAGUUUAUUGUGAUUUUUAGCUGUUCAAUUGCAGUAGAUCGGUUAUGAUCUUAAAUUGUAGCUUUUAAGCAGAGUUUACUUUCUUAAACAUAAGAUUUAAAGUCUUUAAGGGUGUGCGAAUUGGUUUAUUUUUUAUUUCUUGAUCUUAUAUACCAUGUGACUUCAUACUUAUUUAUUCUGAUUACUGGUCUAUUGGAAUACACAAAAAUGGUGAAGAUUUACUGCAUUGGAGUCGGAUAUGUCAGCAGGCCCACUAUGGCUGUUAUAGCACCAAAUGCCUCCACAUUGAAGUGGCUGUAGUCGAUAUUUCUGUCCCUUGUAUCUAUGCCGGGAACAACGACCAGCUCCCCAUCUACGAACCAGGUCUCAAUGAUGUCGUGAAGAAAUGGAUAGGCAAAAACCUCUUUUUCAGCACCGAUGUCGAGAAACACGUCUGUGAAGCCGACAUAGUGUUUGUGUCAGUCAACACGUCCACCAAAACUCGAAGUCUUGGCGCUGGCAAAGCCGCAGAUCUGACAUACUGGGAAAGCGUUGCCCGUAUGAUCGAUGACGUGUCGAAAUCAGACAAAAUCGUAGUUGAAAAGUCAACUGUCCCUGUGAAAACUGUCAAUAUUGUAAGUUUAGUCGUUUUUUUGUUUUGCUUAGUUUUCUGAUUUUGUUUAGGCUUUCAGUACCGACAUCACAAAUUAAAAAGCCACCUAGACGUAAAACUUCACCGCUAAGGUGGUUUCGACGCAAGAAAGGCGAUUCUUACUUGAAACGAAAGCUAAGGCUACUUCAUGUUGAUAAACAAGUGGCAGCUGAUGUGAAGGCUGCGUUCGUCAGGCUCUCAACUUGUGCAUGCAUCGGCGAUCAAGAAUUUAAACAAAUCUUGAAAAAAAUUAGUCAACAUCCUGAUUUAGACGUAAAACUACACCGCUAAGCUGGUUUCGACGCAAGAAAGCAGAGGUUUGUGUUGGUUCAGCAGAGGUUUGUGUUGGUUCAACAGAGGUUUGUGUUCAGCAGAGGUAUUCAUGCGAACUUUAACUUGAAAGACACCUUGGAAAACUUAAAAGCUGAAAUGCCUCACAAAUUUACGCUCCGAACUUAUGGCUUUAAAGUCUCGAUUGUUAGGUUGAUACUAAUUUUGAGCUUGCAUGGUAGUUUUUUAUAUUGUUUCGCAUGUUAUUUUUUCUUGUAGAACUUUAAAAAAGUCAUCAUUUAUCUAUGCUGAUCACCGAAGUUGUGUUGGGUGUACAGAAGUUGUGUUGAAUCUAAUAAAUCCGCAGUGGAUCACAGAAAAAAAUUAAAAGUCUUAUCUGAUGGGAAGCCAGGCUCAAGCAGUGAUGAAGGGCUUUGAGGCUCAAGAAGUGGCGUCAAAAUGCAAGGAUCUGUGUGAGCUUCGGGUUUUCUAGGCUCAUGGUUUCUGAGUUUUUGGCGGCUUCAGCUUUUCAGGUUAGGUGAAUUACAAUCACUUUGUGUAUCAGAAGGUUCUGAAAUCGUCAAAGAGGUAAGUCGUUGCGACUAUGUUGUGUAGCUUCUAUUUUUGUAUAUUUUUUCCGAUUGAUUGGUUUAGAACUAUAUCGCGUUUAUGCAAGGUACUUAUAUCUGUACAUAUAGAUAUAAGAAAAGAGUUAACAUUUUGAACCUUUAAUUUGUGUUAUUAUGAUGCACAUUAUGCAUAUAUGAGUGUACCGUGACUAAUGAUAUUCUAACGUUUGAAUGAGAAAUUUUUUUCAAAGGGGAUUACUAUUCAAUUUAAAGAGGAGGAAGAAAGUAGCUCCUUUCAUGGUGCAUUUGAGCAACGGAAAAGUGACGUAAUGAUUCAAGGUCUGCUACCUUAUGCAAACAUUAUAUACAAUACAUUGAUGAUUAGUUUCUUUUGAAUUUUGUAAUUUCCUUUAUCACAUUAUUACACCUAAUGACAUGAAACAAUAAACCAAGAUUCUUAUUUUUGAGCAGCCA